rnacentral:rRNA from 1 species
AGUGAACGCUGGCGGUAGGCCUAACACAUGCAAGUCGAACGGCAGCACAGUAAGAGCUUGCUCUUACGGGUGGCGAGUGGCGGACGGGUGAGGAAUACAUCGGACUCUACUUUUUCGUGGGGGAUAACGUAGGGAAACUUACGCUAAUACCGCAUACGACCUACGGGUGAAAGCAGGGGAUCUUCGGACCUUGCGCGAUUGAAUGAGCCGAUGUCGGAUUAGCUAGUUGGCGGGGUAAAGGCCCACCAAGGCGACGAUCCGUAGCUGGUCUGAGAGGAUGAUCAGCCACACUGGAACUGAGACACGGUCCAGACUCCUACGGGAGGCAGCAGUGGGGAAUAUUGGACAAUGGACGCAAGCCUGAUCCAGCCAUACCGCGUGGGUGAAGAAGGCCUUCGGGUUGUAAAGCCCUUUUGUUGGGAAAGAAAAGCAGCAGGUUAAUACCCCGCUGUUCUGACGGUACCCAAAGAAUAAGCACCGGCUAACUUCGUG